rnacentral:rRNA from 1 species
CAGCACCUCAAGUGGUCAGGAUGAUUAUUGGGCCUUAAAGCAUCCGUAGCCUGCUUUGUUAGUUUUCGGGUUAAAUCCAUACGCUUAACGUAUGGGCUGCCGGAAAUACUGCAAAGCUAGGGAGUGGGAGAGGUAGACGGUACUCGGUAGGAAGGGGUAAAAUCCUUUGAUCUAUUGAUGACCACCUGUGGCGAAGGCGGUCUACCAGAACACGUCCGACGGUGAGGGAUGAAAGCUGGGGGAGCAAACCGGAUUAGAUACCCGGGUAGUCCCAGCUGUAAACUAUGCAAACUCGGUGAUGCAUUGGCUUGAUGCCAAUGCAGUGCCGCAGGGAAGCCGUUAAGUUUGCCGCCUGGGAAGUACGUACGCAAAGUAUG